rnacentral:lncRNA from 1 species
UUUGGGCACGGCUUUGCCCGCGGCUUAUUUUUGGCACCCUGAGGCCCCUCGCAAAGUCUCGCCCCAUUCCGAGUCCGGCGGACGAACUUCGCCCGCGCCCCCCACCAAGGCUAUAGCCCACCCGUUUUUUGGCCAUUUUUCCGCUGGGGGGUUUUGGCACCACGACCUUCGGGUGCUUAUUUUUGGACGCGGCUGUGCCCGCGACUUCCCGCGGGCACCCCGAGGCCCCUCGCAAAGUCUCGCCCCAUUCCGAGUCCGGCGGACGAACUUCGCCAGCGCCCCCCACCAAGGCUAUAGCCCACCCAUUUUUUGGCCAUUUUUCCGCUGGUGGGUUUUGGCACCACGACCUUCGAGCGCUUAUUUUUGGGCGCGGCUUUGCCCGUGGCUUAUUUUUGGCACCCCGAGGCCCCGCGCAAAGUCUCACCCCAUUCCGAGUCCGGCGGACGAACUUCGCCUGCACCCCCCACCAAGGCUAUAGCCCACCCGUUUUUUGGCCAUUUUUCCGCUGGGGGGUUUUGGCACCACGACCUUCGGGCGCUUAUUUUUGGGCGCGGCUUUGCCCCGCAGCUUAUUUUUGGCACCCCGAGGCCCCUCGCAAAGUCUCGCCCCAUUUCGAGUCCGGCGGACGAACUUCGCCCGCGCCCCCCACCAAGGCUAUAGCCCACCCGUUUUUUGGCCAUUUUUCCGCUGGGGGGUUUUGGCACCACGACCUUCGGGCGCUUAUUCUUGGACGCGGCUGUGCCCGCGACUUCCCGCGGGCACCCCGAGGCCCCUCGCAAAGUCUCGCCCCAUUCCGAGUCCGGCGGAGGAACUUCGCCCGCGCCCCCCACCAAGGCUAUAGCCCACCCGUUUUUUGGCCAUUUUUCCGCUGGGGGGUUUUGGCACCACGACCUUCGGGCGCUUAUUUUUGGGCACGGCUUUGCCCGCGGCUUAUUUUUGGCACCCUGAGGCCCCUCGCAAAGUCUCGUCCCAUUCCGAGUCCGGCGGACGAACUUCGCCCGCGCCCCCCACCAAGGCUAUAGCCCACCCGUUUUUUGGCCAUUUUUCCGCUGGGGGGUUUUGGCACCACGACCUUCGGGCGCUUAUUUUUGGACACGGCUGUGCCCGCGACUUCCCGCGGGCACCCCGAGACCCCUCGCAAAGUCUCGCCCUAUUCGGAGUCCGGCGGACGAACUUCGCCCGCGCCCCCCACCAAGGCUAUAGCCCACCCGUUUUUUGGCCAUUUUUCCGCUGGGGGGUUUUGGCACCACGACCUUCGGGUGCUUAUUUUUGGGCGCGGCUUUGCCCGCGGCUUAUUGUUGGUGCCCCGAGGCCCUGCGCAAAGUCUCGUCCCAUUCAGAGUCCGGCGGACGAAG